rnacentral:rRNA from 1 species
GACGAACGCUGGCGGCGUGCCUAAUACAUGCAAGUCGAACGCAGUGGGGACGGGUGAGUAACACGUGGGUAACCUCCCAUCAGAGGGGUUAAAACUUGGAAACAGGUGCUAAACCGAUACUGAUGGAAGGACGCGCGGUGCAUUAGCUAGUUGGUGAGGUAAGGGCCUACCAAGGCCACGAUGCAUAGCCGACCUGAGAGGUGGAUCGGCCACACUGGGACGGAGACACGGCCCAGACUCCUACGGGAGGCAGCAGGAGGGAAUCUUCGGCAAUGGACGAAAGUCUGAUGGAGCAACGCCGCGUGAGUGAAGAAGGUUUUCGGAUCGUAAAACUCUGUUGUUAGAGAAGCGGUAUCUAACCAGAAAGCCACGGCUAACUACGUGCCAGCAGCCGCGGUAAUAC